rnacentral:tRNA from 2 species
GCGCCAGUAGUCCAGCCUGGUAGGACGUCAGCUUCCCAAGCUGAAGGUCGCGGGUUCAAAUCCCGCCUGGCGCA